rnacentral:pre_miRNA from 1 species
UACCUACUCCCUCCGUUUGGAAUUACUUGUCUCGGAAAUGGAUGUAUCUAGAACUAAAAUACGUCUAGAUACAUUCAUUUCUGCGACAAGUAAUUCCGAACGGAGGGAGUACAAG